AAAAACAGAGUGGAACAGAGACGAAUGUAGGUUGAACCAUGAAUGUCCUUGUGAAAUACAUAGUCUUUUUUUCACUACUUCUAGCAGCCUCUUGUUGUGACUAUGAUGGCCAAUGUUAUGGAAAAAUAAACUGCCCAAGUGGCCAGGUUAGAGCUUGCUCAUAUAAACGGUGCACCUGCAGAGUGGGGACCCUAUGCCUGUUUGAUGGAAACUGCGUUAAAGUCUGCAACAGUAACCAAACACCUGACUGCAGAUUGUUUCGGUGUUAUUGUCAUCAAAAUUAAGGGCAAGAAAUAUUAAAAUAUUUUGCGAAA